GCUGCCUCCGCGCGGCUACAAUUCCCAGCCAGAGCAGAGGUGGCCUCUGGGAGAUGCAGGAAGAGCUGAAGAGCUGGGAAUCUGGGAUCCAAGGAAAAGAGACAAUAUGUUCACACUACUAUCCCUGGCCACUUUGUAAAGCUAUGUAAGCCAGGCAUGGAGGCACAGGCCUAUACUCCAGCACUUCAGGAGGCUGAGGCAGGAGCACUGCCAGUUUGGGGCCAGCCUGGGAUACAUACGUUGAGAAUCAAAACCGGGACCUCCAGUAUGCUGGAGAAGCACUUUACUAUUGAGCUACAUCCCCAGCUCCAAGCCGGACGUGGAGGCACAUGUCUCGUAAUCCGAGCACUUGGGAGGCUGAGAAAGAAAGAUCGUCAUGAGUUCGCCAACAGCCUAGGCUACAUAGUGAGUUCUGAACUACCUAGUGAGAUCCUGGAAGAUCUACUACUUUCUUUUUAGAUAAGGGCUUCACACAUUGCCCAGGGUAGUCCUGAACUCCUGAGCUCAAGUGAUCUUCCACCUCAGUUUCCCAAGCAGCUGAGCAUAGGCUUAUGCACUUGCAAAACCAGACUUAAAAAUAUGUACUUGUGGCUAGAGGUGUACCUGAGUGGCACAGCACUUGCUUAGCUCAAGCUCUGCCGACUGAAUAAAAGGUGUAACUCCUAAAUUUGUCUCCAGUCUGUCCACAUGUACUUCCGCUCCACUCCCACAGCUCUGACCACCAUCGUCUGGAACCUAAACCAGGCCCCUCUCUGCUUCCAGUGUGGCUUCUUGUCCCAAUCCACUCACCAAACCCAACCACAGGACUCCCAGGCUCAAGUUCAAUUUCCUCCCAUUCCCAGGAUAAAGCCCAGACUCCUUCAAAACCUGGCUCCCAGCCAGGCACAUGACUAAUCUCAUCACUCAGAGACUGAGGCAGAAGAAUCACAAAGUGAA